rnacentral:rRNA from 1 species
UACGAAGGGGGCUAGCGUUGCUCGGAAUCACUGGGCGUAAAGCGCACGUAGGCGGCUUUUUAAGUCAGGGGUGAAAUCCUGGAGCUCAACUCCAGAACUGCCUUUGAUACUGAGAGGCUUGAGUCCGGGAGAGGUGAGUGGAACUGCGAGUGUAGAGGUGAAAUUCGUAGAUAUUGGGAAGAACACCGAUGGCGAAGGCAGCCAUCUGGACCGACACUGACGCUGAGGCGCGAAAGCGUGGGGAGCAAACAGG